rnacentral:rRNA from 1 species
AGUGUAGUUAUAGCUGCAUAUUUGACGUUAGCGACAGAAGAAGCACCGGCUAACUCCGUGCCAGCAGCCGCGGUAAUACGGAGGGUGCGAGCGUUAAUCGGAAUUACUGGGCGUAAAGCGCAUGCAGGUGGUUUGUUAAGUUCAGAUGUGAAAGACCCGGGGCGUCAACCUCGGAAUAGCAUUUGAAACUGGCAGACUAGAGUACUGUAGAGGGGGGUAGGAAGUUUCAGGUGUAGCGGUGAAAUGCGUAGAGAUCUGAAGGAAUACCGGUGGCGAAGGCGGCCCCCUCGGACAGAUACUGACACUCAGAUGCGAAAGCGUGGGGAGCAAACAGGAUUAGAUACCCCUGGUAG